AUGGUCUCUCUGUUGCUAAAGGAUCUGGGGGGUAUGGGAUUCUGCAGAAUUAGUGAUUUCAAUACGAGUCUCUUAGGAAAGCAAUGCAAGAGAUUACUUCAAGGCGGGAAUUCUCUAUUUUUUAAAGUCUUCAAAGGAAAGUAUUUUCCCAGAAGUGAUGUUUUGAAUGCAUUCUCUACAAGCUAUACUUGGAGAAGCAUCUUUAGUGCGAAGGAUUUGAUAGCUCGUGGAUCUAGAUGGAGGAUCGAAGACAGUUCUAAGGUUAGAGUUUGGGAGGAUAACUGGAUUCCUUCUGGUCCAGGUUUUAAACCUUUGAUUUGA